AUUGGAUUGGAGGGGGUGGGGUGGCCCAGCUAGCCAGCCAGCCAGUCCUCUCAGGAUUAGUCCUUCUGCUGACAGCAUCCAGCCCAAGCCCUUCCCCUUACACACACACACACACACACACUCAGACACACACCCCGCGCUGCAUCCUUGUCCCACACUCGGAUUCAGCCCCAAUCUGACACCUCCUUCUGCUGCCUGGAAGCCUCUGAUCCAUACAGCUAUAUUCAUUCACUCCGCCGGUAACUUACAGUCCCACCUACAGCUGCAGCUGAUCUACAGAGGGAUCUCUUCUCUGAUUGGUCCUGAUGCUUAGAAAGGUCCGCCUCCGCUACUCCUCAGCAAACUCCUGUGAGAAGGAUGUGAGCUCUGGCAAGACUGCGGGAUUUCUGUGUUUUGAAGCUUUUGAGGCACACAUUACUCCCAGUUAGAUGGAGGAGAGAGAAAGGAGCAGAAGUCGUUCCCCACGAAGGGUACGUCGGGUGGAGCAGGUUGUGGGGAGAUGGCUGCGCCGCUCACGAGACUCCCUCAGCAGGGAGCGUAUUCUGGGGGACAGGAAGUCGAAUCGCUCGGACGAUGGCAGCCAGCAGCAGUUUCCAGUGAAGGAGACGGUGGAGGUGAUCAGAGACGCUGUGCUGGACUCCCACGGCUUCACCCUCACCACACAGCUCCCUCUGCUGGUCAGGGAUGUCACUCCAGGUGCACACCAUGACCAUGAGAGGGCAUGUAUGCAUGUUUGUGUGUGUGUGUUUGAGGGUUUGAAUGCACCUGCACCACUUCCAGGUGGGGCUGAGUUUUGCUGAUUAGCUCCUGGUAUAUAGCACAGAUUUUCAGAUUCAGUGCAGUUUUUAAUGCUGAGGUCAGGCUGAGGUCAUCUACAUUAUCAGUUAUUAGUGCUUUAAAACUAUUUUGAUGGCAAGAAUUGCUCAGACGUACAGAAUUGGAAGAAGGGGUGUGCUGUUUUAAGUUAUCACUUGUGUGUAACUGUUGUAAUUAGAUACUGGAGUUAGUGCUGCAUUUACUACUCAUAGCCCUGUGACUGUUUACUACAGGGGUGUCCAAACUACGGCCCGCGGGCCAUUUGCGGCCCGUUUCCUUUUUUGGAGCGGCCCGCGAGGUAUUUUAGAAAUAGAAUGAAAGUUGGCCCGCUGUUAAACAGGUUUUUAUAAUGUGAGAUUCAAAGUUUGAACGCUAGGUGUCAGAAACGGGCCAAAGAGUCGGAGAGAGUGCGCAUUUCUAGCGCAGAAAAACGGGGCAAAAGAGUCUAAAAGCGGAGAGGGUGUGCAUUUCUAGCGCAGAAAAACGGGCCAAAGAGUCUAAAAGCGGAGAGGGUGCGCAUUUCUAGCGCAGAAAAACGGGGCAAAAGAGUCUAAAAGCGGAGAGAGUGUGCAUUUCUAGCGCAGAAAAAUGGCAAAUGAGUCUAAAAGUUGCCGUAAUUAAGGAGUUUUAUAUUAAGAGACAUCAUGAAAUUAAACAUCAAUUUGAAAAAUCUUAGUUUACACAACACUGUCAAAGAUAGAUAAAUAUAGUAAGUCAAGUAAAAUGGUGUGUAAAUGAAAAUAAUCAGAAAAAAGUAUUAUUUAAAGUGGUAUAUUUCAUUAUUUGUUUUAUUACAGAGUCUGUGGCCCGUGACUUCAAAUAUAUUUCUCCUUCUGGCCCCCAACAAAAAAAGUUUGGACACCCCUGGUUUACUACAUGUACAUCUUCGCUGCACGUCCUUAUAACAAACACUGUGGUAAAGCAGCUUUAAUCUGCACAGAUGUACACGCUGGAACACAGAAUCUUCUUGCUAUAUUUACAUUCUUGCUCCCACACCAGACAGCUCUGACCAAUCAGAGGAAACAACAUGCUUGUGUGGUUUAUUGGGGCGGAUUUUGGUGCGUUUAGGUUUAUGCCUGUGUGAAACCAAACCAAACAGAGGCAGAAAAAACUCUAAAUAAAUUGACUCAUCAACUGAUCUGGACCA
ensembl:lncRNA